rnacentral:misc_RNA from 1 species
AACGCACAUUGCGCCCCUUGGUAUCCCGAGGGGCAUGCCUGUUCGAGCGUCAUUAUCACCGAUCAAGCCUGGCUUGGUGUUGGGUGCCGUCCCGCCCUCUGCGGCGUGGACGCUCCCUAAAACUAUCGGCGGUGCAGCACCGGCUUCGAGCGUAGCAGACCUUCGCUUUCUGGGCCCGGUGCGGCAGCGGCCGCGACGCAGCAACCUAAAGGUUGACCUCGGAUCAGGUAGGGAUACCCGCUGAACUUAA